ACGGAAGGCAGCAGUGGGGAAUAUUGCACAAUGGGCGAAAGCCUGAUGCAGCGACGCCGCGUGAGUGAAGAAGUAUUUCGGUAUGUAAAGCUCUAUCAGCAGGGAAGAAAAAUGACGGUACCUGACUAAGAAGCACCGGCUAAAUACGUGCCAGCAGCCGCGGUAAUACGUAUGGUGCAAGCGUUAUCCGGAUUUACUGGGUGUAAAGGGAGCGCAGGCGGUACGGCAAGUCUGAUGUGAAAGCCCGGGGCUCAACCCCGGUACUGCAUUGGAAACUGUCGAACUAGAGUGUCGAAGGGGUAAGCGGAAUUCCUAGUGUAGCGGUGAAAUGCGUAGAUAUUAGGAGGAACACCAGUGGCGAAGGCGGCUUACUGGACGAUAACUGACGCUGAGGCUCGAAAGCGUGGGGAGCAAACAGGAUUAGAUACCCUGGUA
rnacentral:rRNA from 1 species